rnacentral:sRNA from 1 species
UAUUGCAGGCAAUCAACGUAGGUACUC